rnacentral:rRNA from 1 species
GAACGCGAAGAACCUUACCAGGACUUGACAUCCUCUUGACAGAUCCUUAAUCGGAUCCUUCUUCGGACAAGAGAGACAGGUGGUGCAUGGUUGUCGUCAGCUCGUGUCGUGAGAUGUUGGGUUAAGUCCCGCAACGAGCGCAACCCUUGCCAUUAGUUGCCAUCAUUUAGUUGGGCACUCUAGUGGGACUGCCGGGGAAAACUCGGAGGAAGGUGGGGAUGACGUCAAAUCAUCAUGCCCCUUAUGUUCUGGGCUACACACGUGCUACAAUGGCCGGUACAACAGGCAGCGAACCCGUGAGGGGGAGCGAAUCCCAAAAGCCGGUCCCAGUUCGGACUGUAGGCUGCAACUCGCCUACACGAAGUUGGAGUUGCUAGUAAUCGCGGAUCAGAAUGCCGCGGUGAAUGCGUUCCCGGGUCUUGUACACACC